UCAAGGGAAGAAUCUCAGCUGGGGCAUCAGGGUGGAUGUGACACCCUUAACAAAACAGAGGGAGACUGUUUGGGGAAACAGGUACUUUGGGAAGGACCAGAGAAAGAUCUCUCUCACCUACUGGAUGGAA